CGCCCCGCUCGCGUCGGAGCUGCGGAGCGGCGAGAUUGCGGUGGGACCAUGGCUGCGCUGAGGGACUGCAAGGCCUGGCAGGAUGCUGGACUUGUCCUGUCCACGACCAGCAAUGAAGCCUGUAAGCUCUUCGAUGCUGUGCUGACACAGUAUGCAACUUGGACCAAUAAUGAGAGCCUUGGAGGUAUUGACGGGUGUCUCUCCAGGCUAAAGGCAGCAGAUCCAAACUUCACGAUGGGACAUGUCAUUGCCAAUGGCUUGGAGCUGAUUGGCACUGGAAGGACUGUGAGACUCGACAAGGAGCUGGACAGCGCUGUGAGAGCCAUGGUGGCACUUUCCAAGUCACAGCCACUGACAGAGCGGGAGAGGCUUCAUGUGUCAGCACUGGAUGUGUUUGCCAAGGGCCAACUUCCAAAAGCUUGUGAUCUAUGGGAGCAGAUUCUGCAGAACCACCCAACUGAUCUGCUAGCCCUCAAAUUUUCCCAUGACACUUAUUUCUACCUGGGAUAUCAACGUCAGAUGCGAGAUGCUAUUGCCCGUGUUUAUCCUUUCUGGACACGUGAUGUUCCACUGAGCAGCUACGUGAAGGGCUACUACUCUUUUGGACUCAUGGAAACAAACCUUUAUGACCGUGCUGAGAAGGUUGCCCAUGAGGCUUUGGCUAUAAAUCAGACAGAUGCGUGGUCUGUCCAUACUAUAGCUCAUGUAAAUGAAAUGAAAGCAGAGGUGGAGAAAGGCUUAAAAUUCAUGAAGGAAACAGAAAAGAACUGGAAGAGCAGUGAUAUGCUUGCCUGCCAUAAUUACUGGCACUGGGCUUUAUACUACAUUGAAAAGGGGGAAUAUGAAGCUGCUUUGACAAUUUAUGACAAGCAUAUUGCUCCCCGGUGCCUAACAAGUGGAAGCAUGCUGGAUAUAGUUGAUAACUGUUCAAUGCUCUACAGGCUUCAUCUGGAAGGUGUAAAGCUUGGGGACAGGUGGAAUCAUCUGCUUGGGAUUACAAAGAAGCACACCAAGGAUCACAUUCUUCUGUUCAAUGAUGCACACUUCUUGAUGUCUUUCCUUGGAGCCAAAGACCACAAAGCUACUGAGGAGCUUUUAACAACUCUGCAGGAACUUGCCAGAGCACCUCAUGAAGACCACCAGCUUUCCCUGGCUCCUAGUUUGGGGCUGCCACUGUGCCAGGCUUUUGUAGAGUUUGAAAAUGGGAAUUUUGACAAAGCUGUAGACCUGCUGUACCCAAUCCGUUAUGAACUAAUCCGAGUGGGAGGCAGUGAUGCUCAGAGAGAUGUCUUCAGCCUGUUACUGAUUCAUGCUGCUUUAAAUUCUAAAUCAAAGGCCAAACAAAACCUUGCAAGGUGUCUCCUGCAUGAACGUGAUGUGAUGAGACCAAACUCACCAAUGACUGAGCGGCUGAUGAGGAAGGCAGCAGCCGUGCAUUGCAUGGCAUAGGGUUUUCCUUCAGCUGAAGAGCCAGAAGCUUUCCACAAAGUCUGGGUGCAGGGAGUGCAGGGGUACUGUGAAGCAUCCAGACACCUCUCAGAUUUCCAGAAGCUGCUGAAGUGGACAAGACAGUAAUAUUCUUCAGAAAGUCAUCAGCUACAAAUCAAGCAGAGCCGGGGUAAGGGAGAUUCCUUCCAACUUGUAAAUUGGUAAACGAAAAGGUAAGAGCAACAGACUGAAACUUGUUCAUUGAGAACUUACUGACGAUGGUGAGACCUUGGCACAGGCUGCCCAGAGAUGCUGUGGCUGCCCCAUCCCUGGAAGUGUCCAGCAACCUGGGAUAGUGGAAGAUGUCCCUGUCCAUUGCAGAAUGCAUGAGCUUUAAGGUCUCUUCUAACCCAAACUACUCCACCAUCCUCUAGACUUGGCAAUGUUGAACUGUGCCUGCUUAGCUUAAUUACCUCAUUGCAGGAGGAUAUAAAGUAUGCACCAUUACAUCUUU